UCCCCGGGCAGCAGGAUGGCGAGAUAUAAUGCAGCCUCCGACCGUUACAGCUGCGCGGCUCCGAGACGCUCUCGCGACAUUAUCGCCGUAUGCGAAUCGUCGCCGCGACUACGUGUUCCUCCACGUUGCGCCGAUGCGCGAGCAUCCGAAGAUCCCGUCGUGAAUUACAAAUUCCGGACGCGAGCGAUUCGGCUUGAAAGCACCGUGUAAAACGCCAGUUUCUAAUACUCAAAAUGAAUACUACGUUCGCGAUUCGCACGCGCUCAGAGCGAUGCACGGCGAACGCUUGGUCGGGUGUUAAUUUGAAAAAAUAAUAUCGAACGCGACGCGCCAUUGUUAUCAAUCGACGCAAGAGGCAUUACAGGCGGUUUCCGUGCGAUUCGGGCCUCAAGAUCGACGUCGCUGUCACGGAUGAGCGCGCUUGUUUGUUCGUCCGACUGCCAGAACGCGAAAAUAGUCGAUACUCGUGUCAUUGACAGAGCUAUACGGCUCCAAAACUCUUGCAAUUUUUAUUACGCACCGUUCGGUCGCGAUCGAUGCGGGAGCCGCGUUUAUCUCGCGGAAAGUGUUUACCGUUUCGAGGAAGAACACGAGGAGAGUAGCGGCCGCAAACUUGGAAAAGGGAUCUCGGGAGACGAAGUCGCGAGCGUCUCGAGCCUCACGACGACCACGUGCGCGGGGGAAUCCGACGUUUACAAAAUACAUCGCGACGCGAGAUAGCUUUCUAAAUACCGGAAGCGACGAUAGCCAAGGGGACAAGGUCCAAGAAGCCUCGCAGCCGCCAAGGAGAAGGCGGAGCAGACGUUCGUGCGGAGGAGGAGGGCAAAAGUGAAACUCACAAGCAACGUAGGAAGUUCUCGUAUGAUAUUUUGCGGCCAGUGUGUUCACAAUCGAAGUAAGUGCCCCGCCGGUGAGAUAUCGCGGACUAUAAGUGGACUCCACCGAGAGUUCGCCCGGGCUGUCGAUUUUUUGCAGGUCCCGGAAACCGUGACGUUGCCAGAACACAUCCGCCCGGGGAGAGAAGGCGCGCGCGAGAGGAGGAACGAGAGGACGCUCUCUCGUAAUGCGGAAAAAUUAUCUUCGCGACAUCGCGAGACCUUCGCACCUCUUUCAGGAAUAUGCGAAGUGCCUUAUAAGCGAGAAGCGUGUAGCGCCUUUGGAAAAAAUAUGCGAGCAGAAAGAAGAAAGUAUUUUUAUCAACACAAAGGAUCGGAGUAACAUGCGGGAAUAAAAUCUACUGCAUCAAGAUGCCUCGUUACACAAGAGCCUGCGGUUGUGAUGCAGGAGACAUGGGUCGACCACCAUCUUCCAUAUCAACUCCCAGGGCAUUAUUUAGCUUUGGAAUCACAG